ACGGGUGAGUAACACGUGGAUGAUCUAACUUCUAGUGGGGAAUAACCCCGGGAAACUGGGGAUAAUACCGCAUAAGCUCGAGAGAGGAAAGCAGCAAUGCGCUGGAAGAGGAGUCCGCGGCCGAUUAGCUAGUUGGCAGGGUAAAAGCCUACCAAGGCAAAGAUCGGUAGCCGGCCUGAGAGGGCACACGGCCACACUGGCACUGAAACACGGGCCAGACUCCUACGGGAGGCAGCAGUGGGGAAUCUUGCACAAUGGGGGAAACCCUGAUGCAGCGACGCCGCGUGAGCGAUGAAGCCCUUCGGGGUGUAAAGCUCUUUCGGCAGGGAAGAUAAUGACGGUACCUGCAGAAGCAGCUGCGGCUAACUACGUGCCAGCAGCCGCGGUAAUACGUAGGCAGCGAGCGUUGUUCGGAGUUACUGGGCGUAAAGGGUGCGUAGGCGGUUGUUUAAGUUUGGUGUGAAAUCUCCCGGCUCAACUGGGAGGGUGCGCCGAAUACUGAAUGACUAGAGUGCGGGAGAGGAUAGUGGAAUUCCUGGUGUAGCGGUGAAAUGCGUAGA
rnacentral:rRNA from 1 species